rnacentral:rRNA from 1 species
UACGGAGGGUGCGAGCGUUGUUCGGAAUCACUGGGCGUAAAGCGCGUGUAGGCGGCCUGCUAAGUCUGAUGUGAAAGCCCGAGGCUCACCCUCGGAAGCGCAUUGGAAACUGGCAGACUGGAGUCCCGGAGAGGAGAAUGGAAUUCCUGGUGUAGCGGUGAAAUGCGCAGAUAUCAGGAAGAACACCCGUGGCGAAGGCGGUUCUCUGGGACGGUACUGACGCUGAGACGCGAAAGCGUGGGGAGCGAACAGG